UUCCUACUGUCAAUAGAAAGGAUGAGAGAGGACAGUACAACUCUCACUUUUAAAAUGCUGCCUUGAAGACUGACUGAAACGAUGUGAUGUUUCUUGAAGACCAUUAUUGAUCAAACCGUAAUGAUUUGAAUCUCGAUUUGAAUAAUACACCACGCAAUACAAUAUUCUAUUGAUACUGAAAAUUUCAAUGAAGCAAAGCCUGACGUGCAAGACAACAAGGAGACACUCGAUCACUGAAUGGCAAACGAACGAACACCGCUGUUACACCACCGUUUGGAGGGAAACCGAACUGUUGAAGUGCGGGGUAAUCAACCUUCAACUUCAAG